rnacentral:rRNA from 1 species
CGCGAAUGGCUCAUUAUAACAGCUAUAAUUUACUUGAUCUUGACACAAUCCUACUUGGAUAACUGUGGUAAUUCUAGAGCUAAUACAUGCAUUAAAGCUCUGACCUCACGGGAAGAGUGCACUUAUUAGAACAAAACCAAGCGGCUUCGGCUGUUUUCGGUUGACUCAUAGUAACUGAGCUGAUCGCACGGUCUUGCACCGGCGACGUGUCUUUCAAGUAUCUGCCGUAUCAACUUUCGAUGGUAGUGUAUCUGACUACCAUGGUGAUCACGCGUAACGGAGAAUAAGGGUUCGGCUCCGGAGAGUUCGCCUGAGAAAUCGCGAACACGUCUAAGGAAGGCAGCAGGCGCGAAAAUUACCCACUCUCAGCACGAGGAGGUAGUGACGAAAAAUAACGAGACCGUUCUCUUAUGGGGCCGGUCAUCGGAAUGGGUACAAUUUAAACCCUUUAACGAGUAUCUAUGAGAGGGCAAGUCUGGUGCCAGCAGCCGCGGUAAUUCCAGCU